rnacentral:rRNA from 1 species
CAUCAUGCCCCUUAUGACCUGGGCUACACACGUGCUACAAUGGACGGUACAACGAGUUGCGAAACCGCGAGGUCAAGCUAAUCUCUUAAAGCCGUUCUCAGUUCGGAUUGCAGGCUGCAACUCGCCUGCAUGAAGUUGGAAUCGCUAGUAAUCGUGGAUCAGCAUGCCACGGUGAA